CCGCGCGUCCAAGAGGGAGCUAAGGGCUCCCUGGUUCAAAGGGCCGCAGCCCCGAGGGGAUGCCCUCGUGUGCCCCGGGGUGCAGAAGCAGACUGCAGGGCAGUGGGACCAGCCUGGGCCACGCAAACUUGACAUCGUGGAAGAAACAUGGAUUACUAAAGAGCAGCUGGCUGACUUUUAACCCUGAGUGCAUUGGUAGACCCCAUUACCUGUGCAUUUAUACCGGGAAUGUGAUAUACAAGAAUUACAGGGUAUGCAAGUCACCAAGAGGAGAUGAGCAAGCAGAGACAAAAUAGCUCAUCAUGGGCUCCCAAGGGAGUAACUGACAGAAGAGAGAUCUGAAGCAGCAUGGAAAGCAAGGUGUGGUGGCUUGCAUCUGUAAUUGCAGCACUCAGGAGGCAGAGGCUGGAACAUCAGCACAAAUUCAAGGCUAUCACAGUGAGUUUGA